rnacentral:rRNA from 1 species
AGAGUUUGAUCCUGGCUCAGGAUGAACGCUGGCGGCGUGCUUAACACAUGCAAGUCGAACGAAGCACUUUAUUUGAUUUCCUUCGGGACUGAUUAUUUUGUGACUGAGUGGCGGACGGGUGAGUAACGCGUGGGUAACCUGCCUUGUACAGGGGGAUAACAGUUGGAAACGGCUGCUAAUACCGCAUAAGCGCACAGCAUCACAUGAUGCAGUGUGAAAAACUCCGGUGGUAUAAGAUGGACCCGCGUUGGAUUAGCUAGUUGGUGAGGUAACGGCCCACCAAGGCGACGAUCCAUAGCCGACCUGAGAGGGUGACCGGCCACAUUGGGACUGAGACACGGCCCAAACUCCUACGGGAGGCAGCAGUGGGGAAUAUUGCACAAUGGGCGAAAGCCUGAUGCAGCGACGCCGCGUGAGCGAAGAAGUAUUUCGGUAUGUAAAGCUCUAUCAGCAGGGAAGAUAAUGACGGUACCUGACUAAGAAGCACCGGCUAAAUACGUGCCAGCAGCCGCGGUAAUACGUAUGGUGCAAGCGUUAUCCGGAUUUACUGGGUGUAAAGGGAGCGCAGGCGGUGCGGCAAGUCUGAUGUGAAAGCCCGGGGCUCAACCCCGGUACUGCAUUGGAAACUGUCGUACUAGAGUGUCGGAGGGGUAAGCGGAAUUCCUAGUGUAGCGGUGAAAUGCGUAGAUAUUAGGAGGAACACCAGUGGCGAAGGCGGCUUACUGGACGAUAACUGACGCUGAGGCUCGAAAGCGUGGGGAGCGAACAGGAUUAGAUACCCUGGUAGUCCACGCCGUAAACGAUGAAUGCUAGGUGUAGGAGGUAUCGACCCCUUCUGUGCCGGAGUUAACGCAAUAAGCAUUCCGCCUGGGGAGUACGGCCGCAAGGCUGAAACUCAAAGGAAUUGACGGGGGCCCGCACAAGCGGUGGAGUAUGUGGUUUAAUUCGACGCAACGCGAAGAACCUUACCAGGGCUUGACAUUGAGUGAAAGGACAAGAGAUUGUCCCCUCUCUUCGGAGACACGAAAACAGGUGGUGCAUGGCUGUCGUCAGCUCGUGUCGUGAUAUGUUGGGUUAAGUCCCGCAACGAGCGCAACCCCUAUUCUUUGUUGCCAGCACGUAAUGGUGGGAACUCAAAGGAGACUGCCGCGGACAACGCGGAGGAAGGCGGGGAUGACGUCAAGUCAUCAUGCCCCUUAUGUCCUGGGCUACACACGUACUACAAUGGGAUGGACAGAGAGCAGCGAAGCCGCGAGGCCAAGCGAACCCCAUAAACCAUCUCCCAGUUCGGAUUGCAGGCUGCAACCCGCCUGCAUGAAGUUGGAAUCGCUAGUAAUCGCAGGUCAGCAUACUGCGGUGAAUACGUUCCCGGGCCUUGUACACACCGCCCGUCACACCACGGAAGUCAUUCACACCCGAAGCCGGCAGGCUAACCUUUUGGAGGCAGCCGUCUAAGGUGGGGGCGAUGACUGGGGUGAAGUCGUAACAAGGUA